CAGGCCUAACACAUGCAAGUCGAACGAAGGCUUCGGCCUUAGUGGCGCACGGGUGCGUAACGCGUGGGAAUCUGCCCUUGGGUUCGGAAUAACAGCGAGAAAUUGCUGCUAAUACCGGAUGAUGACGUAAGUCCAAAGAUUUAUCGCCCAUGGAUGAGCCCGCGUUGGAUUAGGUAGUUGGUGGGGUAAAGGCCUACCAAGCCGACGAUCCAUAGCUGGUCUGAGAGGAUGAUCAGCCACACUGGGACUGAGACACGGCCCAGACUCCUACGGGAGGCAGCAGUGGGGAAUAUUGGACAAUGGGCGAAAGCCUGAUCCAGCAAUGCCGCGUGAGUGAUGAAGGCCUUAGGGUUGUAAAGCUCUUUUACCCGGGAUGAUAAUGACAGUACCGGGAGAAUAAGCUCCGGCUAACUCCGUGCCAGCAGCCGCGGUAAU
rnacentral:rRNA from 1 species